CGGUGGAGGGUGUGGGGCCCCUCUUCUAGAUGCUGCGGGGCCCGAUUCCCAGGAAUCGUUGGAAUCGCCCUAAGGCCAGCCCUGCCAGGGAGGUGGUGCUGGGCCCAGUGCGGCUGGGAGGGCUGUAUUCUGUUCUAUGGCGCCGGGAGCUCUUUGGUGAGAGGCUAGGGGGGUGGGGGGAUUGGGAGCCCCAUAGGAACAAGCUGUGCUGUUCUUUAGGGAGGCGAAGCAGGUGGGUUUGGCACAGUCUCCCUGCACUCCCUAGGCCCCUCUGCACUGGCUGCUCUUCCUCUUGCAUCCCCAGCAUCCAGGCAGAUUUGGCACCGGGAUCCAGCCCUAUUUCACCUCCCUGCUACUGACUGUGGGCACCAAGCUGCUGCCAGUCGCUGUCUUCAGGGAAAUGGCAGCAUCGCCUGGGGGCUGGGAUGCAGGUGGGUUGAUGCCACAGGAUCUCACUGCCUCUCUGCUUCCCCCAGAGCUGCUGUCUGGACUGGGAGGUGCUGCCAGGUCUGGCUUGAGGUGUAACGCUGGGUCUCAGCUCCUUGCUUCAGCUCUGUGCGGUAUCCUCAGCUCAGGGGUCCCAGUGGGGUCAGGGACAGCCCUGAGAGAGUCUCCUCUCAGGAUGCUGGGAUGUGGGGGUCCCUCACCUCAUUGCUUCUAGAGUCCCCUGCCACUGACAUCCAAAUUCCCCAGUGCCAGCGGCCACACUGCAUCCCGGGAGAAGAUGGCUCCCAGCUAAAAAUGAGAGUAGAGUCAUUCGCACGGCACGGAGCACAGGCCCCAGGCUGCCCAGGUGCCUUGACCUAAGCCGCAGCCGGCCUGCCGCAGCCAAGCUGGCUUCUCAGGGCUGCUUGCUGAGGGGAGACGGCUGCGUCUCUGUGCAGGCCCAGAUGGAGGGAAGGAGUGUAAGUCCCACAGCUGCCUCUGUGCCGACUCUGUGCCCAGUGAACUGCAUCCCGACUGCAGGGGUGAAGUGCCCUGCAGGCUGACUGCGGAGCACGCUCUAGCUGGCUGGCUCGCUGGGUGAGAAGGGAUGAGUUCCUCGUGCCCCGGAACGUCCUGGAUAGUGUGGCUCCUUAGGGAUCUACUACAGCCCUCUCCUUCCUCUGCUCAACACAAUCUUCAUCUUCAUCACCUUCUACGUCAAAAAGUACACUCUGUACAGAGAUUGCAGACUCUGCCCGAGACUCUCUCAUGCAUCCAGUUCCACUGACUCUUCCAGCGGAUGCUGCUGUUGGGCCUGAUCAUGGUGUUGGCUUCCUUGGGCUACGUCAUCACAAGGGCCUGCAGCUACUUUGCCAACUACGCAGCUGCCUGGCAGGUGGUGGCAGAGGCUGUGUCAACCCUCCUGCCCCCCUCAGCCCAGCUCGGUCUACAAUACGCCAUGUCCGAUGCCUUCUGCUUCCCACUUCUCAUCAUGCUCAGACUCUAUCGUAUCCCCCUUGGUCGUCUUUUCAAGACUGGGACUGUACAGUUUAGUUACUCUUGCCUCACAUGGAAGCUGUUCCACACCCCUCAUCACACCUCUUCCAAUUCCAGUGUAUCUGUUUUGAGAUGGGGUGAUCAGAACUCUAUGCAGUAUUCAAGAGGUGAGUGUACCAGGGAUUUAUAUAGUGGGAUUAUGAUGUUUUCAGAUAUAUUAGUUGUCCCUUUUCUAAUGAGUCCCAACAUUCUGUUACCCUUUUUUUUACUGCUG